rnacentral:siRNA from 1 species
CACCGCCUUGAGCAAAUGUGUGGC